rnacentral:tRNA from 1 species
GCCUUCGUGGUGUAGUGGUCAGCACACUCGACGCUUAUUCGAGACAUCCGUGGUUCGAGUCCCACCGAGGUCA